GAUGAACGCUGGCGGCGUGCUUAACACAUGCAAGUCGAACGGAAAGACCCAAGCUUGCUUGGGUACUCGAGUGCCGAACGGGUGAGUAACACGUGGGUGAUCUGCCCUGCACUUCGGGAUAAGACUGGGAAAAUGGGUCUAAUACAGGAUAGGACCACUUCUUGGAUGUUGUGGUGGAAAGAUUUUUCGGUGUGGGAUGAGCUCGAGGCCUAUCAGCUUGUUGGUGGGGUAAUGGCCUACCAAGGCGUCGACGGGUAGACGGCCUGAGAGAGUGUACGGCCACAUUGGGUCUGAGAGACGGCCCAGACUCCUACGGGAGGCAGCAGGGGGGAAUAUUGCAGAAUGGGCGCAAGCCUGAUGCAGCGACGCCGCGUGGGGGAUGACGGCCUUCGGGGUGUAAACUCCUUUCGCUAGGGACGAAGCGUUUUGUGACGGUACCUGGAGAAGAAGCACCGGCUAACUACGUG
rnacentral:rRNA from 1 species